GACGAACGCUGGCGGCGUGCUUAACACAUGCAAGUCGAACGGAAAGGCCCUGCUUGCCGGGUACUCGAGUGGCGAACGGGUGAGUAACACGUGGGUGAUCUGCCCUGCACUUCGGGAUAAGCUUGGGAAACUGGGUCUAAUACCGGAUAGGAGCCAUCUUUAGUGUGGUGGUUGGAAAGUUUUUUCGGUGUAGGAUGAGCUCGCGGCCUAUCAGCUUGUUGGUGGGGUAAUGGCCUACCAAGGCGGCGACGGGUAGCCGGCCUGAGAGGGUGUACGGCCACAUUGGGACUGAGAUACGGCCCAGACUCCUACGGGAGGCAGCAGUGGGGAAUAUUGCACAAUGGGCGCAAGCCUGAUGCAGCGACGCCGCGUGGGGGAUGAAGGCGUUCGGGUUGUAAACUCCUUUCGCUAGGGACGAAGCUUUUUUGUGACGGUACCUAGAUAAGAAGCACCGGCUAACUACGUG
rnacentral:rRNA from 1 species